GGUUGAUCCUGCCAGUAGUCAUAUGCUUGUCUCAAAGAUUAAGCCAUGCAUGUCUAAGUAUAAACUGCUUAUACUGUGAAACUGCGAAUGGCUCAUUAAAUCAGUUAGAGUUUAUUUGAUGGUACCUUACUACUCGGAUAACCGUAGUAAAGCUACAGCUAAUACGUGCGUAAAUCCCGACUCACGAAGGGACGUAUUUAUUAGAUUCAAGACCGACCGUGCUUGCACGAUCUUGGUGAAUCAUGGUAACUUCACGAAUCGCAUGGCCUCGUGCCGGCGAUGUUUCAUUCAA
rnacentral:rRNA from 1 species